rnacentral:rRNA from 1 species
AGCUCCAAAAGCGUAUAUUAAAGUUGUUGCAGUUAAAAAGCUCGUAGUUGGAUUUGGGGUAACGGUAGUAACUUUUUCUUUAUGAAAAAUGUUGCUAGUCUGACCCAGUGUUUGCAGUUUUCCCACGUUGCACUUCACUGUGUGAUGUGUGUGAAGCUGAAGCGUUUACUUUGAAAAAAUUAGAGUGCUUAGAGCAAGCGUAUGCUUGAAUAUUGUUGCAUGGGAUAAUGAAAUAGGACCACGGUUCUAUUUUGUUGGUUUUCGGAAACCGAGGAAAUGAUCGAGAGGAACAGCCGAGGGCAUUCGUAUUGUGGCGCUAGAGGUGGAAUUCUUGGACCGCCGCAAGACGAACAACCGCGAAAGCAUUUGCCAAGAAUGUUUUCA